ACACAUGCAGUCGAGCGGAUGACAGGAGCUUGCUCCUGAAUUCAGCGGCGGACGGGUGAGUAAUGCCUAGGAAUCUGCCUGGUAGUGGGGGACAACGUUUCGAAAGGAACGCUAAUACCGCAUACAUCCUACGGGAGAAAGCAGGGGACCUUCGGGCCUUGCGCUAUCAGAUGAGCCUAGGUCGGAUUAGCUAGUUGGUGAGGUAAUGGCUCACCAAGGCGACGAUCCGUAACUGGUCUGAGAGGAUGAUCAGUCACACUGGAACUGAGACACGGUCCAGACUCCUACGGGAGGCAGCAGUGGGGAAUAUCGGACAAUGGGCGAAAGCCUGAUCCAGCCAUGCCGCGUGUGUGAAGAAGGUCUUCGGAUUGUAAAGCACUUUAAGUUGGGAGGAAGGGCAUUAACCUAAUACGUUAGUGUUUUGACGUUACCGACAGAAUAAGCACCGGCUAACUCUGUGCCAGCAGCCGCGGUAAUACAGAGGGUGCAAGCGUUAAUCGGAAUUACUGGGCGUAAAGCGCGCGUAGGUGGUUUGUUAAGUUGGAUGUGAAAUCCCCGGGCUCAACCUGGGAACUGCAUUCAAAACUGGCAAGCUAGAGUAUGGUAGAGGGUGGUGGAAUUUCCUGUGUAGCGGUGAAAUGCGUAGAUAUAGGAAGGAACACCAGUGGCGAAAGCGACCACCUGGACUGAUACUGACACUGAGGUGCGAAAGCGUGGGGAGCAAACAGGA
rnacentral:rRNA from 1 species